CCUACGGGAGGCUGCAGUGGGGAAUAUUGGACAAUGGGCGAAAGCCUGAUCCAGCCAUGCCGCGUGUGUGAAGAAGGCCUUCGGGUUGUAAAGCACUUUCAGUGGGGAAGAAAGCCUUGGGGCUAAUACCCUCGAGGAAGGACAUCACCCACAGAAGAAGCACCGGCUAACUCCGUGCCAGCAGCCGCGGUAAUACGGAGGGUGCGAGCGUUAAUCGGAAUUACUGGGCGUAAAGCGCGCGUAGGCGGUCUGAUAAGCCGGUUGUGAAAGCCCCGGGCUCAACCUGGGAACGGCAUCCGGAACGGUCAGGCUAGAGUGCAGGAGAGGAAGGGAGAAUUCCCGGUGUAGCGGUGAAAUGCGUAGAGAGCGGGAGGAAUACCAGUGGCGAAGGCGGCCUUCUGGACUGACACUGACGCUGAGGUGCGAAAGCGUGGGUAGCAAACAGGAUUAGAUACCCUAGUAGUC
rnacentral:rRNA from 1 species